rnacentral:rRNA from 1 species
UACGUAGGGGGCUAGCGUUGUCCGGAAUCAUUGGGCGUAAAGAGCGUGUAGGCGGCCCGGUAAGUCCGCUGUGAAAGUCGGGGGCUCAACCCUCGGAUGCCGGUGGAUACUGUCGGGCUAGAGUACGGAAGAGGCGAGUGGAAUUCCUGGUGUAGCGGUGAAAUGCGCAGAUAUCAGGAGGAACACCAAUGGCGAAGGCAGCACUCUGGGCCGGUACUGACGCUGAGGAGCGAAAGCGUGGGGAGCAAACAGG